rnacentral:rRNA from 1 species
UGGGGAAUUUUGGACAAUGGGCGAAAGCCUGAUCCAGCAAUGCCGCGUGUGUGAAGAAGGCCUUCGGGUUGUAAAGCACUUUUGUCCGGAAAGAAAUCCUUGGCUCUAAUACAGUCGGGGGAUGACGGUACCGGAAGAAUAAGCACCGGCUAACUACGUGCCAGCAGCCGCGGUAAUACGUAGGGUGCAAGCGUUAAUCGGAAUUACUGGGCGUAAAGCGUGCGCAGGCGGUUUGCUAAGACCGAUGUGAAAUCCCCGGGCUCAACCUGGGAACUGCAUUGGUGACUGGCAGGCUAGAGUAUGGCAGAGGGGGGUAGAAUUCCACGUGUAGCAGUGAAAUGCGUAGAGAUGUGGAGGAAUACCGAUGGCGAAGGCAGCCCUCUGGGCCAAUACUGACGCUCAUGCACGAAAGCGUGGGGAGCAAACAGGAUUAGAUACCCUGGUAGUCCACGCCCUAAACGAUGUCAACUAGUUGUUGGGGAUUCAUUUCCUUAGUAACGUAGCUAACGCGUGAAGUUGACCGCCUGGGGAGUACGGUCGCAAGAUUAAAACUUAAAUGAAUUGACGGGGUCAUAGCUGUUUCCU